rnacentral:rRNA from 1 species
CUGGGAUUAGAUACCCUGUUAUUUAAAAUGUAAUUUUAAGGACUAAGGUAGUAUUAGAUAUGUUCUUUAAACUUAAAAAAUUUGGCGGUAUUUUAGUCUAUUCAGAGGAACCUGUUUUGUAAUCGAUAAUCCACGAUGGACCUUACUUAAGUUUGUAAAUCAGUUUAUAUACCGUUGUUAUUAGAAUAUUUUAUAAGAAUGUUAAUUUUCAUAAUUUUUUAUAAAAAGUAUAUCAAAUCAAGGUGUAGCUUAUAUUUAAGUAUAAAUGGGUUACAAUAAAUUUAUUUAGGCGAAUAUAAAUUUGAAAUAUUUAUUGAAGAUGGAUUUGAUAGUAAAAUUAUAAAGAUAAAUAAUUUGAUUUUAGCUCUAAAAUAUGCACAAAUCGCCCGUCACUCUCUGA